rnacentral:rRNA from 1 species
AGUGAACGCUGGCGGCGUGCUUAACACAUGCAAGUCGAACGAGAACGGGUUAUAGCUUGCUAUAAUUGUCAGCUAAGUGGCGCACGGGUGAGUAAUGUAUAGGUAAUAUGCCUCUUACUAAGGGAUAACAAAUGGAAACGUUUGCUAAUACCUUAUACUCCUUAUUAACAGAAGUUAAUAAGGGAAAGAUUUAUUGGUAAGAGAUUAGCCUGUAUUGUAUAAGUUAGUUGGUGGGGUAAUGGCUUACCAAGACUAUGACACAUAACUGGUUUGAGAGGAUGAUCAGUCACACUUGAACUGAGACACGGUCCAGACUCCUACGGGAGGCAGCAGUAGGGAAUAUUGCACAAUGGACGAAAGUCUGAUGCAGCAACGCCGCGUGGAGGAUGACACAUUUCGAUGCGUAAACUCCUUUUAUAUGAGAAGAUAAUGACGGUAUUAUAUGAAUAAGCACCGGCUAACUCCGUGCCAGCAGCCGCAGUAAAAC